rnacentral:rRNA from 1 species
CAUUGCCGACGCGUCCUGGCCUCGCCAGUUUCCCCGCCUCAUGCUGGUGUCGGGAGGGCCGGGUGGCCGGCGCGCCGUGGAUGUGGUGGCGUCGGCAGCAGGCUUUAAAAAAGCCUGGCGCACCUUCACCCUACCCCGGGGCAUCUGGCCGUGCUGUGUGUGGCUGUCUUUGGUGUACCCCGGUUGCCGGCGCAGGAUGACCAUGGAGCGUGGACCUUGUGACCAUGUCGGCUUCAGUCGCAGAUUGGGACAGAGCUCACUCGCCUGCGCCAGAGGCACAGGGCUGGGGCAACCCCCCACACCCGUACGAGCCCGAGGCCAGCUGCCCUGAGCUUUUGUGCUCCCCGACCACGGCCUGAGAUCAGACUUGGUGACCUGCUGAAUUUAAGCAUAUUACUAAGCAGAGGAAAAGAAACUAACCAGGAUUCCCUCAGUAACGGCCAGUGAAAAGGGAAGAGCCCAGCGCCGAAUCCCCAUUCAGCGGCUGGCGUGAGAAAUGUGGCGCCAGAAGACAGACUCCCUGGCAUCGCUCAGGGGGCUCAAGCCCUUCUGAUUGAGUCUCCACGCAGAUGGUGUUGGGCCGAUAGCGGCCUCUUGCACACUGGGAUCAGGUUUUCUUGGAGUCAGUUGCUUGGGAAUGUAGCCCAAAGCGUGUGGUAAACUCUGUCUAAGGCUAAAUACGGGCGCGAGACUGAUGGCCAACAAGUACCGCAAGGGAAAGUUGAACAGAAGUUUGAAGAGCGAGUUAAAGAGGGCGUGAAACAGUUGGAGGUAACUGGUGGGUCGGCGCAGUCCGCCAACACGAUUGAACACGGCAGCCAGGUUGGUCACCUGGAACGGGGGAGGCCCUUGCGGGUCUGCGGCCCGGCACAUCCAGCCCAGCAGGGCGCAUUUCCUCUGUAGCGGUGCACCACGACCGGCUGGGAAGGCCCCAGGGGCAGGUGGCUCUCUGCUACAGCAGAGAGUGUUACAGCCCCAUUACAACAGUUUUUCUGUGUCCACGGGGCUGAGGGAGAUAGACCGCCACCACGCCCUUAUCCGGCAACCGUCCUGGCCCCUCUUCGGGGUCGCUAGAGUGGCGACGGGAGACAGGGCUCCCAAUGCGAGUGUGGUGGACUGCCCUCAAUACGCCCCGACCAUGUCGUGCCGCCGGGCGGGGAGCCCCACAAUGGGCGCCAGGGGUCUGAGGUGAUGUCGGUUAACCACCCGACCUGUCUGGCCAAGGAGUAUAACACGUGCCCGAGUCAGAGGGCCGAAUUAAACCCUGUGAUGUAAUGAUGUUGAGGGCCGGUGCUCGCCGAUUGCAGUGGCAUCCUGUCGCGGUGGGCCCUCCAUCGACUCAUCUCAUCCGCUCUGUCAGAGAGAUGAUGCAUGACCGUGUGUGAUAGUAACCGAAAGAUGGUGCACUCGGCCUAGUGGAGGUCUGUAGCGGUCCUGAUGUGUAAAUUGGUCAUCCGACCUGGGUAUAGGGGCAAAAGACUAAUCGACCGAUAUAGUAACUGGUUCUCUCCCAAGUUUCCCUCAGGAUAGCUGGCGGAAGGAAACCCCAGUUUAUCUAGCAAAGCGAAUGAUUAGACGUCUUGGGGCCAAAAUUAUCUCAACCUACUCUCAAACUUUAAAUGGGUAUGAAGCCCAGCUCGCUGGCAUGGAGCCGGUUAUUGUAUGAAUGUUCUCAGUGGGCAACUUUUGGUAAGCAGAACUGGCGCUGCGGGAUGAAUCGCACCCCGGGUUAAGGCGUGUGAUGCAGAUGCUCAUCAGACCUCAGAAACAGUGUUGGUUGAUAUAGACAGCAGGAUGGUGGCCAUGGAAGUCGGAAUCUGCAACUCACCUGCCGAAUCAACUAGCCUUGAAAAUGGAUGGCGCUGGAGCUUCGGGCCCAUACCCGGCCGGCGCUGAGAGCCGCGGGGACUAAGUCGGGCGAGUAGGAGGGCUGCUGCGGUACGCACAGAAGCCCGGGGCGAGGGCCUGGGUGGAGCUGCCGCAGGUGCAGUUCUUGGUUGUAGCAAAUAUUCAAACGAGAACUUUGAAGGAUGAAGUGGAGAAAGGUUUCAUGUGAACAGAAGUUGAACAUGGGUCAGUGCGCCGUACGGAAGGGAUGGGCUAUGGCCGCCGUUGCCCUCAGCCGAUCGAAAGGGAGUCGGGUUCAGAUCCCCGACCUGCUCCGGGGACAGUGGCAGGUGGGGAGUUUCACUGGGGUGGUACACCUGUCCAAGGAUAACGCAGGUGUCCUAAGGCGAACUCGGGGAGGACCGAAACCUCCUGCAGAGCAGAAGGGCAAAAGCUAGCUUGAUCUCGAUUUUUCAGUAUGAAUACAGACCGCGAAAGUGGGGCUUCACAAUCCUGCUGACUUUGGGUUUCAAGCAGGAGGUGUCAGAAAAGUUGCGACAGGGAUAACUGGCUUGUGGCGGCCAAGCCUUCAUAGCGACGUCACUUUUUGAUCUUUCGAUGUCGACUCUUCCUAUCAUUGUGAAACAGAAUUCACCAAGCAUCGGAUUGUUCACCCACUAGUGGGGAACGUGAGGUGGAUUUAGACCGUCGUGAGGCAGGUUAGUUUUACCCUACUGAUGUGUUGUUUCAAUAGUAAUCCUGCUCAGUACGAGAGGAACCGCAGGUUCAGACAUUUGGUGUGCAUGCUUGGCUGAGGAGUCAUUGGGGUGAAACUACAAUCUGUGGGAUUAUGACUGAACGCCUCGAAGUCAAUAAUCCUCACCACCACACCGUGAUACUGUAGCGCUGUCGAGCACGGUUGGUUUAGGCUAGCCGGCCUCCGGGCCGGUGUGUAGAGCGCCUGCUGCGGGACUUGAGUGUGGACAGAAAGGGGCCACCUCUCACCCGUAGUGCACUGCAUGUUCGUGGGAAUCUGGUGCUAAAUCAUUCGUAGACAACCUGAUUCUGGUUCAGGGUUUCGUAAGUAGUAGAGCAGCUACCUCGCAUGCAAUCUAUUGGAAGUCAUCCUCUGAGCCAAGCUU